rnacentral:pre_miRNA from 1 species
AUUCUACUCCCUCUGUCCGAAAAUACUUGUCAUUAAAAUGGAUAAAAAAUGAUGUAUCUAGAACUAAUAUACAUCUAGAUACAUCCCCUUUUAUUCAUUUUAAUGACAAGUAUUUCCGGACGAAGGGAGUACUAC